rnacentral:rRNA from 1 species
AUUGAACGCUGGCGGCAUGCUUUACACAUGCAAGUCGAACGGCAGCGCGGGCUUCGGCCUGGCGGCGAGUGGCGAACGGGUGAGUAAUACAUCGGAACGUGCCCAGUAGUUUGGGAUAGCUCGGCGAAAGCCGGAUUAAUACCGCAUACGACCUGAGGGUGAAAGCGGGGGAUCUUCGGACCUCGCGCUAUUGGAGCGGCCGAUGGCAGAUUAGCUAGUUGGUGGGGUAAAGGCCUACCAAGGCGACGAUCUGUAGCUGGUCUGAGAGGACGACCAGCCACACUGGGACUGAGACACGGCCCAGACUCCUACGGGAGGCAGCAGUGGGGAAUUUUGGACAAUGGGCGAAAGCCUGAUCCAGCAAUGCCGCGUGUGUGAUGAAGGCCUUCGGGUUGUAAAGCACUUUUGGCGGGAACGAAAAGGACUGUGCCAAUACCACGGUUCGAUGACGGUACCCGAAGAAUAAGCACCGGCUAACUACGUG